UACAGGGGGUGCAAACGUUGCUCGGAAUCAUUGGGCGUAAAGCGCACGUAGGCGGUUCGUUAUGUCGGAUGUGAAAGCCCUUGGCUUAACCGAGGAAGUGCAUCCGAAACUGGCGAGCUAGAGUACUAAAGAGGAUCGCGGAAUUCCCGGUGUAGAGGUGAAAUUCGUAGAUAUCGAGAGGAACACCGGUGGCGAAGGCGGCCAACUGGACGAAUACUGACGCUGAGACACGAAAGCGUGGGGAGCAAACAGG
rnacentral:rRNA from 1 species